CUCCGCUCCACCACUCUUCUUUUCUGGCGUCGAUAGACCACGCCACACCUCGAACCAUCGACCUUCGAGUCUCUUGCGCAGGCGACAUCGCGGCCAGCCACGGCGUCGCUGGCUCCGGGCCUGGCCUCUUGGCGGCGUCGCCGCGGACGCUGCGGCCAACAGUAUAGCAAACACGUAAAAGAUGAUGGUAUACACGGGUUCAAGAGAUGGACAGGUAACCCGAGCGAUGGAGUUCCGUAAGAUGAAGCUGAACAACUGGAUAGUCCGGGUGAGCAGGAGGGGAUCACGGCGAUGCGGGACUGUUCCUCGUCUCCCUGUCCCGUGGCGCGUCGACCGGGUGGACAGAGGUGCAGUGAAGACUUGUUCGCCCGCUACGGCCACGCCUACCGGUACGUGCAUGUCACAUCCUUCUCCGACGACCCAUCCGCGACGGACGGCCAUGGCCGCGGCUUUCUGCGCGCUCGUGAUCCGCGCUUGCGGCGCCCGCUGCGACGUGGCCACCCGGCACGCUGCCCGCCCGGGUCCUUCGUACCUUCCUUUUACUAUCAUGUACUACUAGCCGGUAGUUUGCUUUGCGCAUCGCCGCACGCACGUAAUCCUUUUCACCAACCGUGGUAGGCUGCUAGCUAGUACUGUACAUGUUACCCUGCAUUAGACGGAGUACGUGACGAAAGAAUUACUGGUCUCACAAGUUUGCUUUGUAAACCACACCGAGCCGAGCCGAUCGCAUCCUAGUUGUUGAUUCCAUACCUCGAUCAGGGUUGCCCCCGUUAUUGAGUGAAGCAAAUUUUGAACGUAAUUCCAAAUCAGUUUUUUUCCACUGACUGAGGGAUAUAAUAAAGUAGUCCCCAACCAAAAUAAUAAUAAUAAUAAAGUAGUCCCACCUAAACCACCAUCCACAUGCUUUGAGAAAUUUGUUAUUCUGGUCAACAUGCGAAAGCCAUUUCUUAUCCAGCGGCCAAUCGCACCAUGAUAGCGCUGGAUUUUCGAAAUCUCUUCCAAGGCCCGGAAUAAAGAAGCCGUGAAGGCCCCUUCCUUUUGACAAAAUUUGAUCUCGAAGUGACAGCAGGCAUGCACGCACCCAAUCUUGUUUGCAACGGGCAGUAUUACUCUCAUGAUCAUUGCGUCAUUGAGUGGAGGAAAACCAAUCCCGGCGAUUUAUCUCAGGAGCUGAUUCAGCCCCUAGCGCAAGUUCCAGCUGGGUUCCAGGCCAGCCAUGCAUCCGGUUUUUUCGUGGUACGGCUGCCGAAUUAUAGGACUUGUGUCUGAUCUUGAUGGUGGUUACUCUGAAUCUGGAUUGCUUCCUCCGGACAGCUGCUUCCCUAUAUGGCUGGAGGGGAAGAAGACGAUCAAUCCGUUGUCAAAUCAUGUGCUCCACAUUUUUCCUUGUCAGGGAUAUGCAUCAAGAGCUACAUCAGGAGGGGGCAAUUUGUUCUACAGGCAUUAUGUAAUUUAUUAUUGUGAUAUAAUUGGAUUGCCAUGUCAGUUAUCAGUUAAAUAUGGAGGCGCUGACUGCA